GGGGACGUGGUGUAGCCUGGUUUAACACAUCGCCCUGUCACGGCGAAGACCGCGGGUCCGAAUCCCGUCGUCCCCG
rnacentral:tRNA from 1 species